UACGGGGGGGGCAAGCGUUGUUCGGAAUUACUGGGCGUAAAGGGCUCGUAAGCGGCCAACUAAGUCAGACGUGAAAUCCCUCGGCUUAACCGGGGAACUGCAUCUGAUACUGGAUGGCUUGAGUUCGGGAGAGGGAUGCGGAAUUCCAGGUGUAGCGGUGAAAUGCGUAGAUAUCUGGAGGAACACCGGUGGCGAAGGCGGCAUCCUGGACCGACACUGACGCUGAGGAGCGAAAGCCAGGGGAGCAAACAGG
rnacentral:rRNA from 1 species